rnacentral:lncRNA from 1 species
AGGUGAGGCAAAGAACCUCACCCUCCCACUGGUGCAAAGGCCUAAUUCUUCUCCCCUUCUGAGAGAGGUCUCCUGCCCCAUGGCUGCUUUGCUCCCCACAUCCAGCUCAGAUCAGAACCCUAGUGACAGAGACCUAGUCUGUGGGAAGCCAUUCUCGCACGUGAUUGGGCACCUCCAGAAUUGGGUGUGAGGCGCUCUGCUAAACUGUGUUGGAGCUUUCCCCACCCUCUCCAGGUGUGAGAGCCUGUCCGUGUGGGGGUGU